ACGGGAGGCAGCAGUGGGGGAUAUUGCACAAUGGGCGAAAGCCUGAUGCAGCGACGCCGCGUGAGGGAAGACGGCCUUCGGGUUGUAAACCUCUGUCAUUCGGGACGAAGAAGAUGACGGUACCGAAGAAGGAAGCUCCGGCUAACUACGUGCCAGCAGCCGCGGUAAUACGUAGGGAGCAAGCGUUGUCCGGAAUUACUGGGUGUAAAGGGAGCGUAGGCGGGAAAGCAAGUUGGAAGUGAAAGACUGAGGCUUAACCUCGGAACUGCUUUCAAAACUGUUUUUCUUGAGUGAAGUAGAGGCAGGCGGAAUUCCUAGUGUAGCGGUGAAAUGCGUAGAUAUUAGGAGGAACACCAGUGGCGAAGGCGGCCUGCUGGGCUUUAACUGACGCUGAGGCUCGAAAGCGUGGGUAGCAAACAGGAUUAGAUACCCUGGUA
rnacentral:rRNA from 1 species